CAAUUUUUCUUUUUUUAUUAUGUCUGAAGAUCUAUCUUAGUCAGUCAAUGAAGUAUCAAGUAAUUAAGAUGAAAAUUAUAUUUCUAAAAUUACUUGGUUCUUCCUUGAUUUGAUUGAGAUUGAGAUUUCAUGAGUGAAUAUAAAAUAUUCAAAGUGAAAGUUAGGAAUUGACUCUCUUUUGUAGAUUUCUCUUAUAGGUUUAACAAUUUUUCUUUUUUUAUUAUGUCUGAAGAUCUAUCUUAAUCAGUCAAUGAAGUAUCAAGUAAUUAAGAUGAAAUUAUAUUUCUAAAAUUACUUGGUACUUCCUUGAUCUGAUUGAGAUUGAGAUUUCA
rnacentral:lncRNA from 1 species